AAAAUCGUUUUUUUCGGAUACAACGGCACACAAAAUUAUUCUCGAGCUCGAAGAUGUAUUCACAACGAUAUUUACGAGCUCAAGGAGCUCGAAAAUAGCGGGAAGUUUUAGGGCUGGCCCGCAGGGCCAACCGAUAGACCGAUUCUUUUAAUUUAUAUAAAAGUGGGAUGUGUUAAAAAAGUGAAAUAUUCCAAAACUUGAGAACUAGUAAAAAUUAUUAUUGUCGACAUUAAAGCGUUAUGUGAAAAAAAUUAUCACAAGGAAAUAAUAUCCUUGGAAAUAAUAAUUACAAUUGGAAAUGUUGAAGGUCACUAUUUUAAACAUAUAAAAGUUAGCGAUCCGCAGAUCGACUACACAAAAGCUUACUACAGCACUUCGAGAACAACGAUCGCUCAAGAUAUACAACCAAAAAAAUGUCGAAAAUACUUUUAUUAUUAUCAAUUUUCGUAUUAAUUGGUCUCUAUGCUGGUGCAGAUGCAGAAUGUCCAGGCGGUUGGUGCCAUCCAUCACAAGGUUAUGGCUGUUGUGAAGGAAAUGUAUGUGAUUCGUAUUUGCUUCAAGGUACGUGCAUAACUCGGGAGGAACACAUUGAACGAUCUAUUACAUUUGGAAAAUAAUUAUAAUAAUAGAGUGAAAAUUUAAAGAUGUAUUUUUCCAAUUAAUAAAACUCUCAAUACAAAAAAAAUUUUUAAUUGGUUUUCAUUAGUGACAAUUUAAUAUCUUCUCUAUCAACUCUAGUAGCUAUUGCCCAUACAGGAAGCCCCAGAGUUGAACG